rnacentral:rRNA from 1 species
AGCGUGGGGAGCAAACAGGAUUAGAUACCCUGGUAGUCCACGCUGUAAACGAUGAGUACUAGGUGUCGGGGGUUACCCCCCUCGGUGCCGCAGCUAACGCAUUAAGUACUCCGCCUGGGAAGUACGCUCGCAAGAGGGAAACUCAAAGGAAUUGACGGGGACCCGCACAAGUAGCGGAGCAUGUGGUUUAAUUCGAAGCAACGCGAAGAACCUUACCUAAGCUUGACAUCCCAAUGACAUCUCCUUAAUCGGAGAGUUCCCUUCGGGGACAUUGGUGACAGGUGGUGCAUGGUUGUCGUCAGCUCGUGUCGUGAGAUGUUGGGUUAAGUCCCGCAACGAGCGCAACCCUUGUCUUUAGUUGCCAU